AGGACGAACGCUGGCGGCGUGCUUAACACAUGCAAGUCGAGCGGAAAGGCCCUUCGGGGUACUCGAGCGGCGAACGGGUGAGUAACACGUGGGCAACCUGCCCUUAGCUCUGGGAUAGCUCCGGGAAACCGGAAUUAAUACCGGAUAUGACCUAGGCCGACAUCGGCCGUGGUGGAAAGUUUUUCGGCUAGGGAUGGACUCGCGGCCUAUCAGCUAGUUGGUGGGGUAAUGGCCUACCAAGGCGACGACGGGUAGCCGGCCUGAGAGGGCGACCGGCCACACUGGGACUGAGACACGGCCCAGACUCCUACGGGAGGCAGCAGUGGGGAAUAUUGCGCAAUGGGCGGAAGCCUGACGCAGCGACGCCGCGUGCGGGAUGAAGGCCUUCGGGUUGUAAACCGCUUUCACCAGGGACGAAGCGGAAGUGACGGUACCUGGGGAAGAAGCGCCGGCUAACUACGUGCCAGCAGCCGC
rnacentral:rRNA from 1 species